AUUGAACGCUGGCGGCAGGCCUAACACAUGCAAGUCGAACGAGUGGCGGACGGGUGAGUAAUGUAUGGGAAACUGCCUGAUGGAGGGGGAUAACUACUGGAAACGGUGGCUAAUACCGCAUACCAUCAGAUGUACCCAUAGGGGAUUAGCUAGUGGGUGGGGUAAAGGCUCACCAAGGCGACGAUCCCUAGCUGGUCUGAGAGGAUGACCAGCCACACUGGGACUGAGACACGGCCCAGACUCCUACGGGAGGCAGCAGUGGGGAAUAUUGCACAAUGGGCGCAAGCCUGAUGCAGCCAUGCCGCGUGUAUGAAGAAGGCCUUAGGGUUGUAAAGUACUGUCAGCGGGGAGGCGUUACCCGCAGAAGAAGCACCGGCUAACUCCGUGCCAGCAGCCGCGGUAAUAC
rnacentral:rRNA from 1 species